rnacentral:rRNA from 1 species
CCCGUAAACCCCUGUCAUUUGCGAACAAACCUUGCCAUCUAAUACAUGGUAAGCUGAUUGUAGCGGAAGAGGAAGGGACGGCUAACUCUGUGC